ACAUUCUACAUUCUUUUUACAGGAUAUACGAGAAAUACUUAGAAAAUCUGGAGGACUAGCAUUAAUAACAUCCUUAGAAAGGGACAGGCACCUAAGCCUCAAGGAGAGACGUCAGAUGGUGCGGUUGUUGGUUUCUCAUUUGAUGGAGAGAUUUGGGGAAAACCCAACAGCUGAGAUCAAAAAGGAGAUGGCUCUGGCGCUAACUUGCCAGUUUCCUUGUCUGAAAAAUAGUGAGGGACAUGGAUAUGAGGCAUGGUAUACACCUGGUCGUUAUCUUCACCCUGCAACAGGGUAUUUAGAAGAAAGACUGCGCAACGUGAGGAAACGGCUUAGAGCCCCACACAGCCAGAGACAGUACAGCCAGCCACAGUCAUCUCAGAAUUCCUCUUCUCGACCAAGUUUUCCACUGCCAGAGUCUGAGUUGUCUUUGACUGACAUUCACACAAUGAUUGAGUGGCUAAAGAACAACCGAAGCCCUCACAGUCAAGUGGAGGAGUUCAUGAAACGUACAGCACCUCAUCGGGCUGCAUGGAUUCGAACUUCUGGAACAAAAACUAUUGAGGAAAUCAAUAGAGAAUAUCCUAGACUUCGUGACAUUCCUGGAAUGAUAUCGCAGGACUUUAAAGUUAUAUUCCCUGACCAGGCGGACCGCCUUUAUGAAUUCUGGGCUCCUGUCAUCACUGACCGGAUUUUACUCUUUGCAAAGAAAGAACCCAAGGCUUCAGAUGUUCUUCCAGAAAAUCUGGAAACACUGGCAAUAGGUGUUCGUGCAGAAAUUGCCUUUAAAACCCUUCCUGCCAUCCUGCCAUCUGCACCAUACCGCACAAAUGGAAAAAUGGUGCGCCCAACAUACACAGAAAUGAAGCAGUCCUUCAUUGACAUUCAACCUGUUGGCACUAAUAUAGUGCAGUACUUGAACCACGAGACAAGCCAGAAUCCACAUCUCCUGGUGCUUGGUGACAAGGAAGACUCUUCCCAAGUUUUUAUUAUUUUCAACGGGGAGGCGAUGGAACAGGAGACACUACUACAAGCAGUCGAUCUGUGUUUCAAACUUUUCUUUGUAUAUGACAUCAACUACCCAAAGCCCUCUGCUCCCAUUUGGGAGUUUUUGGAGCACACAGUCUUUAAUAUUCCAGGUGGAGUUCCUUCUGCACACUGCCUCCUCCUUAAAAACUUUGUAUUUAGUAAUCAGUAAACAAAAAUAUUUUUUGUUUUAUUGUUAUGUUUAUAUGUUAUGUUUUUGUGAACUGUAUGUGCACAUUUGUGUGUUUUGAUAUGAAUAUGAAUUGACACACGUGUACAUCUUGAAAAUGUCUGUUUUUACACAUUCGUGUACAGUUAUAUAAAAUAUUUCAAAAUAUAUUUGUUAAUGUAUUAUUUGCAUAUUUAAAUAAAAUCUGUAAUUUACAACA
ensembl:lncRNA